rnacentral:rRNA from 1 species
AUUGAACGCUGGCGGCAUGCCUUACACAUGCAAGUCGAACGGCAGCACGGGAGCAAUCCUGGUGGCGAGUGGCGAACGGGUGAGUAAUAUAUCGGAACGUGCCCAGUCGUGGGGGAUAACGCAGCGAAAGCUGUGCUAAUACCGCAUACGAUCUAAGGAUGAAAGCGGGGGAUCGCAAGACCUCGCGCGAUUGGAGCGGCCGAUAUCAGAUUAGCUAGUUGGUGGGGUAAAGGCCCACCAAGGCGACGAUCUGUAGCUGGUCUGAGAGGACGACCGGCCACACUGGAACGGAGAAACGGUCCAGGCUCCUACGGGAGGCAGCAGUGGGGAAUUUUGGACAAUGGGCGCAAGCCUGAUCCAGCCAUGCCGCGUGCACGAUGAAGGCCUUCGGGUUGUAAACUGCUUUUGUACGGAACGAAACGGCCCUUUCUAAUACAGGGGGCUAAUGACGGUACCGUAAGAAUAAGCACCGGCUAACUACGUGCCAGCCGCCGCAGUAA